rnacentral:rRNA from 1 species
GCUUGUCUCAAAGAUUAAGCCAUGCAUGUCUAAGUACAAGCCUCAGUAAGGUGAAACCGCGAAUGGCUCAUUAAAUCACACCUAAUCUACUGGAAAGUUACUAGUUACUUGGAUAACUGAGGUAAUUCUUGAGCUAAUACAUGCGCAAAUUCCCGACUGUCGCAAGGCGGAAAGGAUGUAUUUAUUAGAUCCAACCAGCCCGGUUCGCCGGAGUCCCUGGUGAGUCAUAAUAACUGAGCGAAUCGCAUGGCCUUGUGCCGGCGAUGGUUCAUUCAAGUUUCUGCCCUAUCAGCUUUCGAUGGUAGGGUAUUGGCCUACCAUGGCGUUAACGGGUAACGGAGAAUUAGGGUUCGAUUCCGGAGAGGGAGCCUGAGAAACGGCUACCACAUCCAAGGAAGGCAGCAGG